GGUGAACGCUGGCGGCGUGCUUAACACAUGCAAGUCGAACGAACCAUUUGCGACAGAUUUUUUCGGAAUGAAGUUGCUUAUGAAUGAGUGGCGGACGGGUGAGUAACGCGUGGGUAACUUGCCUUGUACUGGGGGGUGGCAGCUGGGAACGGCUGGUAAUACCGCUUAAGCGCCCAAUGUUUCAUGACCUGGUGUGUAAAAUUCCGGGGGUAUAAAAUGGACCAGCGUUGGAUUGGCUGGUGGGUGAGAUAACAGCUCACCAAGGCGACGAUCAGUAGCAGACCUGAGAGGGUGACCGGCCACAUUGGGACUGAGACACGGCCCAGACUCCUACGGGAGGCAGCAGUGGGGAAUAUUGCACAAUGGAGGAAAGUCUGACGCAGCGACGCCGCGUGAAUGAUGAAGUAAUUAGUUAUGUAAAGCUCUAUCAGCAGGGAAGAUAGUGACGGUACCUGAAGAAGAAGCCCCGGCUAAAUACGUG
rnacentral:rRNA from 1 species